CUGCAGUGUUGAUGCUCUGAAUAUGUUUUCUCACCUUAAAACUUCAAGUGAGAAUCUGUCAGGGGUAAACGUGACUCCUUUUGAAUUUAUUGAGCGGGUACUUGAAGGCGUCGUAGCUGUGGCCGCAACUGUGUAACAUUGCAGGAGUUUAGGAGUGCCUCUUGGCGUUUUCACUACUAGGUAGCUCGUCAUGACAACACCGCCCAUCUGCAAUUCUCCUCACCAGGACCUGUUGCAUGGCGGUGCAGUGGGGUGGGGUUGAGCAGCGCUUGUUUUAUUAUCAACAACCAAAAACAAGUCCAGCCUCCUUGAGAGUUGUCUUUUUAUGGAGUUGGAGGAAGGGUGCAGCGAGGAAAAAAAUAACGAGCAGAAGGAGGAGAAAGUUCUAGAGAGGAUUUACAUGUUAAGCUCUUACCCCAGUUUUAGAAAUAUGUUCAGCAGAGGCUGUUGCUCAGUAAGUGCGAGAAACAGGUUAGCUACGUUUCCGCCGUUGUCUGUCUUUGAGACACAAUGUUGUUGCUGUAUCAAGUGUAGGUUUGAUCUCCAUCGCCAUUCUGUACAUCGGUGGGCCUCUCUUGCUGACCUGAGGAGCCCAGCCAAACCAAAGUUUGCCCCAGCUGUUAUAUGUCACAGUACAGUAUUGCAUUUCCACAUCUGGCACAAUUUAAAGAAUCAAAUCAAGUGCAUAGGAAUCCAGAAGUGACCUCACGGGCAUGCGCAAACUUUCUCCCCAAAUGAUAACUUCAAGUUUUCUUUGUGUGAGAAAUUUCCAGGAAGUCUCGCAACUCACAAAGGGCGGGCGUUGCGGAUCGUCUGCCUAACUGCUUCAGUGUGUUUACGGGCCAAAGGUCACGGAAGAAAAUGGUCCUCGUUGCUCACGCACAUCUCAAGCCCCAAAUGCGUGAAAUACCAAUGCGGCGGCGGUGCAGGAAGACUCUAAACAUUUCACCUCCACGGGGUGCUGUCGUCUGACGUGAAACGCACCCUUGCUGCACUUCUCUUGGCAAACGUGCUGGAGACAUUAAGCGGCCCCGGCAGCAUUUCGGAUGGGAAACGUAAACAUUUGCCAUCCGGCGGGAACUGGAUCGACAUUCUACAAUGAAGAGAACACGUUUUACAUACAUAUGAUGUAAAAUAAAAUCCGUCCUUUUUUCCUGACAACGGUGUGUCGAAUUCAAGUAUUAAAACUGUAACUAGCAAGACUUUUUCUCUUGUAUAGGAAAUCAAAAUGUUUUGUAACACAACUAGAUAGCUUACAACAGUACAACGUUACAUCGUUAUCUGCUUUAGGAAUUAACAUUUAUGAUGUAGUUAGCAGGGGUGCCCAAGUCCGGUCCUAGAGAGCCCCACUCCACCCUGUUUUCACUGUCUCCCUUCUCCAACACACUCAAUUCAAACGAUCAAAAAGCUCAUCAGCAAACUUAACGGAAGCCUGAUAACGGUCUUGCUCAUUUGAAUCAGAUAUUUCAAACAAAUGUUCCAAGUGUGUUUGUAUGUCACCUCAAAUAAUUUAACAUUUGAAAACUUGUUUCAUUAAAACUAACAACAACUAAAACAAAAUUCAGUCAUUCAUGAAAGAAGGGUUUUGAGUGUCAAAGAGACAACUCAUUCCAAAAAAAUAAA